UACGGGAGGCAGCAGUGGGGAAUAUUGCACAAUGGGCGCAAGCCUGAUGCAGCCAUGCCGCGUGUAUGAAGAAGGCCUUCGGGUUGUAAAGUACUUUCAGUCGUGAGGAAGGUGUUAAGGUUAAUAACCUUAGCAAUUGACGUUAGCGACAGAAGAAGCACCGGCUAACUCCGUGCCAGCAGCCGCGGUAAUACGGAGGGUGUGAGCGUUAAUCGGAAUUACUGGGCGUAAAGGGCACGCAGGCGGUUAAUUAAGUUGGAUGUGAAAUCCCCGGGCUUAACCUGGGAAUGGCAUUCAAGACUGGUUAGCUAGAGUCUUGUAGAGGGGGUAGAAUUCCAUGUGUAGCGGUGAAAUGCGUAGAGAUGUGGAGGAAUACCGGUGGCGAAGGCGGCCCCUGGACAAAGACUGACGCUCAUGUGCGAAAGCGUGGGGAGCAAACAGGGAUUAGAUACC
rnacentral:rRNA from 1 species